GAUCAUGGCUCAGGAUGAACGCUGGCGGCGUGCUUAACACAUGCAAGUCGAGCGAAGCACUUUACUUGGAUUUCUUCGGAAUGACGAGUAUUGUGACUGAGCGGGCGGACGUGGUGGAGUAACGCGUGGGUAACCUGCCUCAUACAGGGGGAUAACAGUUAGAAAUGACUGCUAAUACCGCAUAAGACCACAGCACCGCAUGGUGCAGGGGUAAAAACUCCGGU
rnacentral:rRNA from 1 species